rnacentral:rRNA from 1 species
CGCGUUGGCCCAAUUGAUUGAUGGUGCUUGCACCUGAUUGAUUUUGGUUGCCAACGAGUGGCGGACGGGUGAGUAACACGUAGGUAACCUGCCCAGGAGCGGGGGACAACAUUUGGAAACAGAUGCUAAUACCGCAUAACAGCGUUGUUCGCAUGAACAACGCUUAAAAGAUGGCUUCUCGCUAUCACUUCUGGAUGGACCUGCGGUGCAUUAGCUUGUUGGUGGGGUAACGGCCUACCAAGGCGAUGAUGCAUAGCCGAGUUGAGAGACUGAUCGGCCACAAUGGGACUGAGACACGGCCCAUACUCCUACGGGAGGCAGCAGUAGGGAAUCUUCCACAAUGGGCGCAAGCCUGAUGGAGCAACACCGCGUGAGUGAAGAAGGGUUUCGGCUCGUAAAGCUCUGUUGUUAAAGAAGAACACGUAUGAGAGUAACUGUUCAUACGUUGACGGUAUUUAACCAGAAAGUCACGGCUAACUACGUGCCAGCAGCCGCGGUAAUACGUAGGUGGCAAGCGUUAUCCGGAUUUAUUGGGCGUAAAGAGAGUGCAGGCGGUUUUCUAAGUCUGAUGUGAAAGCCUUCGGCUUAACCGGAGAAGUGCAUCGGAAACUGGAUAACUUGAGUGCAGAAGAGGGUAGUGGAACUCCAUGUGUAGCGGUGGAAUGCGUAGAUAUAUGGAAGAACACCAGUGGCGAAGGCGGCUACCUGGUCUGCAACUGACGCUGAGACUCGAAAGCAUGGGUAGCGAACAGGAUUAGAUACCCUGGUAGUCCAUGCCGUAAACGAUGAGUGCUAGGUGUUGGAGGGUUUCCGCCCUUCAGUGCCGGAGCUAACGCAUUAAGCACUCCGCCUGGGGAGUACGACCGCAAGGUUGAAAC